UACAGAGGCCACGAGCGUUAGGCGGAAUCACUGGGCUUAAAGCGUGUGUAGGUGGAUCGGUAAGUACCUUGUAAAAUCCCACAGCUCAACUGUGGAACUGCUUGGUAUACUGCCAGUCUUGAGGCACUCAGGGGCGAGCGGAACAAGUGGUGGAGCGGUGAAAUGCGUAGAUAUCACUUGGAACGCCAAUGGUGAAGACAGCUCGCUGGGGGUGUACUGACACUGAGACACGAAAGCCAGGGGAGCGAACGGG
rnacentral:rRNA from 1 species